UAUAAUAGACAUAUGCACUAGCUUGUCUAGUAAAUUAGUGCUUUGAUUUAAUAAUUUUGAUUCUCCUGUUCUUGUUUUCUAAUCAUUGCCCUUUAAAUUUGAGACAGUCAAUUUUUCUUCUUAUAUGUGAACAGUUUAGAGUUAUGUAUAUCUAGUUUCCUAAUAUCUGAAUUGUGGGAUUCUCAGACCUUUAAACUUGCCCCUUGUAGGACUUAAUUAGUGAAGUCUUAUAUAGUGUUUAUUAUAUAAUUUAUAUAACCAUGUUUCUUGGCUUAGCUGACCAUUCAUAUUUCUUUCAUGAUGACUUGUACUCUUGUGUUUUUGCUAAUACUCUGUACAAUAUUGCGGUUUAUUAAUGAGCUUGAUGGUGUGGGGAGGCAGAGAGGAGAAGGAAUGGGAGGUGGAAAUUAUGAGAGAUCGAGAGCAGACUAUUAAUAACCAGUUGUUGAAAGAAGUGGAUGGGUUCUCCGGUAAUUCUGGGGUUAUUGUCUUGGCCGCUACCAACAGGCCUGAUGUUCUUGAUUCAGCAUUGCUAAGGCCUGGAAGGUUCGAUAGACAUGUUACAGUGGACAGACCUGAUGUUGCUGGUAGAGUCAAGAUACUUUAGGUCAUACCAUCUAAACUUGAAGAACAAGGUCAAGUGGAAAACUCAAAGUCCGAAGAUGCUUGUGACACUGUAUGAUAAAGAAGUUGUUCGCGACGGUGAUAUCAAUCCAAGUAAAAAAUUGCAAGUGAUAUAGGGAUAUUACAGAUUUUUGAAAUCGUCUAAAUUAGCUUGACAUGAUCAAAUUAGUUUUGUAUCUAGGCUUUUUGAAUUUAGAAUUUUUUAAAUAUUUUGUUUUUGUAACUAUUCUGGAUGAACUACAUUGUUGUUCCAAAACUUUUAACAAUUGUGCUCGGUUA